UACGGAGGAUGCGAGCGUUAUCCGGAUUUAUUGGGUUUAAAGGGUGCGUAGGCGGGCUUUUAAGUCAGCGGUAAAAAUUCGGGGCUCAACCCCGUCCGGCCGUUGAAACUGGGGGCCUUGAGUGGGCGAGAAGAAGGCGGAAUGCGUGGUGUAGCGGUGAAAUGCAUAGAUAUCACGCAGAACCCCGAUUGCAAAGGCAGCCUUCCGGCGCCCUACUGACGCUGAGGCACGAAAGUGCGGGGAUCGAACAGG
rnacentral:rRNA from 1 species